rnacentral:piRNA from 1 species
UGGUUUCCAAGACAAUCUUCA